AUGGAGGAACUUGAAGCAUUUCGACACCAGUGGCAGACUGAUUGGAUACAGUUCCUAUCUUGUCGGUCUCAGGAACUCCGACCGGGAGGGUACAUGAUGGUGAUUUCUUUCGUAAUUAAUGACAAUGGGCAGGAAAAGGCCGUUGAGGAGGACUUGCAUGAUGUCUACACUAAAACCUGGAAAGAGUUUUGGCAAAAUGGAAAAAUCACUGAGGAAGAGUUUGUGAGCAGCUCGAGUUUUACCUACAAACCAACCAUGGCCGAGCUCUUGCAACCAUUCAACACUGACAUGAAAGGUUCUCUGUCU